AUUGAACGCUAGCGGGAUGCUUUACACAUGCAAGUCGAACGAGUGGCGGACGGGUGAGUAAUAUAUCGGAACGUGCCCAGUAGCGGGGGAUAACUACUCGAAAGAGUGGCUAAUACCGCAUACUAAUGGAGGCGGCGGUAUGGGGUUAGCCAGGUGGUGGGGUAAAGGCUCACCAAGGCAACGAUCCGUAGCUGGUUUGAGAGGACGACCAGCCACACUGGGACUGAGGCACGGCCCAGACUCCUACGGGAGGCAGCAGUGGGGAAUUUUGGACAAUGGGGGAAACCCUGAUCCAGCCAUCCCGCGUGUAUGAGAAGGCCUUCGGGUUGUAAAGUACUUUUGGCAGAGAAGCGGUAUCUGCAGAAUAAGCACCGGCUAACUACGUGCCAGCAGCCGCGGUAAUUC
rnacentral:rRNA from 1 species